GUAACAUAUUGGCAAACCGGCUGAAAAGCAGGGACCCAAAGCUUCAGGUCUAAUGCUUAUAAAGCUAAAAUUGCAAGCUGAAAAA
rnacentral:ncRNA from 1 species